rnacentral:rRNA from 1 species
UAGGGAAUAUUGGGCAAUGGACGGAAGUCUGACCCAGCCACGCCGCGUGCAGGAAGAAGGUCCUCUGGAUUGUAAACUGCUUUUGUACGGGAGGAAAAAGCUCUUGCGAGAGUAAUUGACAGUACCGUAAGAAUAAGCAUCGGCUAACUCCGUGCCAGCAGCCGCGGUAAUACGGAGGAUGCGAGCGUUGUCCGGAUUUACUGGGUUUAAAGGGAGCGUAGGCGGGCGAGUAAGUCAGAGUUGAAAGGC